rnacentral:rRNA from 1 species
AUUGAACGCUGGCGGCAGGCCUAACACAUGCAAGUCGAGCGGGGUUUUCGGACCUAGCGGCGGACGGGUGAGUAAUGCGUAGGAAGCUACCCGAUAGAGGGGGAUACCAGUUGGAAACGACUGUUAAUACCGCAUAAUGUCUACGGACCAAAGUGUGGGACCUUCGGGCCACAUGCUAUCGGAUGCGCCUACGUGGGAUUAGCUAGUUGGUGAGGUAAUGGCUCACCAAGGCGACGAUCCCUAGCUGGUUUGAGAGGAUGAUCAGCCACACUGGAACUGAGACACGGUCCAGACUCCUACGGGAGGCAGCAGUGGGGAAUAUUGGACAAUGGGCGCAAGCCUGAUCCAGCCAUGCCGCGUGUGUGAAGAAGGCCUUCGGGUUGUAAAGCACUUUCAGUUGGGAGGAAGGGUUGUGUGUUAAUAGUACACAGCCUUGACGUUACCAACAGAAGAAGCACCGGCUAACUCUGUGCCAGCCGCCGCAGUAAAAC